rnacentral:rRNA from 1 species
GACGAACGCUGGCGGCGUGCUUAACACAUGCAAGUCGAACGGAAAGGCCCUGCUUGCAGGGUACUCGAGUGGCGAACGGGUGAGUAACACGUGGGUGAUCUGCCCUUCACUUCGGGAUAAGCCUGGGAAACUGGGUCUAAUACCGGAUAGGAGCCAUUUUUAGUGUGAUGGUUGGAAAGUUUUUUCGGUGUAGGAUGAGCUCGCGGCCUAUCAGCUUGUUGGUGGGGUAAUGGCCUACCAAGGCGGCGACGGGUAGCCGGCCUGAGAGGGUGGACGGCCACAUUGGGACUGAGAUACGGCCCAGACUCCUACGGGAGGCAGCAGUGGGGAAUAUUGCACAAUGGGCGCAAGCCUGAUGCAGCGACGCCGCGUGGGGGAUGACGGCCUUCGGGUUGUAAACUCCUUUCGCUAGGGACGAAGCUUUUUGUGACGGUACCUAGAGAAGAAGCACCGGCUAACUACGUG